AGCGAACGCUGGCGGCAGGCCUAACACAUGCAAGUCGAACGAACCUUUCGGGGUUAGUGGCGGACGGGUGAGUAACACGUGGGAACGUGCCUUUAGGUUCGGAAUAACUCAGGGAAACUUGUGCUAAUACCGAAUGUGCCCUUCGGGGGAAAGAUUUAUCGCCUUUAGAGCGGCCCGCGUCUGAUUAGCUAGUUGGGUGAGGUAAUGGCUCACCAAGGCGACGAUCAGUAGCUGGUCUGAGAGGAGGAUCAGCCACAUUGGGACUGAGACACGGCCCAAACUCCUACGGGAGGCAGCAGUGGGGAACAUUGCGCAAUGGGCGAAAGCCUGACGAAGCCAUGCCGCGUGAAUGAUGAAGGUCUUAGGAUUGUAAAAUUCUUUCACCGGGGACGUUAAUGACGGUACCCGGAGAAGAAGCCCCGGCUAACUUCGUG
rnacentral:rRNA from 1 species